UACGUAGGUGGCAAGCGUUGUCCGGAUUUACUGGGCGUAAAGAGCGCGCAGGCGGUUGUUUAAGUCGAAUGUGAAAGCCCCCGGCUCAACUGGGGAGGGUCAUUCGAUACUGAUCGACUUGAAGGCAGGAGAGGGAAGUGGAAUUCCGGGUGUAGUGGUGAAAUGCGUAGAUAUCCGGAGGAACACCAGUGGCGAAGGCGGAUCUCUGGGCCAUUACUGACGCUGAGGAGCGAAAGCGUGGGGAGCGAACAGG
rnacentral:rRNA from 1 species